AUUGAACGCUGGCGGCAGGCUUAACGCAUGCAAGUCGAGCGGGGACUUCGGUCCUAGCGGCGAACGGGUGAGGAAUGCUUGGGAAUCUGCCCAGUAGCGGGGGAUAACGUUUCGAAAGGAACGCUAAUACCGCAUACGCCCUACGGGGGACAGGGGCGGAUCUUCGGACCUCUCACUAUUGGAUGAGCCCAAGUCGGAUUAGCUAGUUGGUGAGGUAAAGGCUCACCAAGGCGACGAUCCGUAGAUGGGCUGAGAGGAUGAUCAGCUACACUGGAACUGAGACACGGUCCAGACUCCUACGGGAGGCAGCAGUGGGGAAUAUUAGACAAUGGGCGAAAGCCUGAUCCAGCCAUGCCGCGUGUGUGAAGAAGGCCUUCGGGUUGUAAAGCACUUUAAGCGAGGAGGAAUGGCUGAGGGUUAAUAACCUUCAGCAGUGACGUUACUCGCAGAAUAAGCACCGGCUAACUCUGUGCCAGCAGCCGCCGCUGUAA
rnacentral:rRNA from 1 species